UCCCUGUUGGCUCAAUGGUAAAGAAUCUGCCUGCAAUGCAGGAGACCAGGGUUCAGUCCCUGGGUCGGGAA
rnacentral:tRNA from 1 species